rnacentral:rRNA from 1 species
AUGAAAAUAAUCAGUUGGAACUGCCGGGGGCUCGGGAAUGGCCUGGCAGUUCGGUCUCUUCUCGAGUUGGGAAGAGUGGAGGAACCCGACAUUUUAUUUCUUUGUGAGACGAGGAUGACGGAGAAGGAGUUGGAUCCGUUUUGGUGGAUGCUUGGCUUAGUUAACAUGACUGCAUGGAAGGCAGAUGGGAGAAGUAGAGGGGUGGCCUUAUUCUGGAGGAGAGGUGUGGAUGUGGCGUUAAGAUCCUAUGGAAGAAGGCAUAUUGACGUUGAUAUAACAGAAGGAGAUGGUUCAUAG